GGCUACGGUCUUUCUGCCGACGCCAUGACGUCUAUGUUUGUGCCUUGCGGCUGGGUCCGCCGCCUGGGCCUAGCAGAGCGGAGCCGGUGCGAUGCUGAGCCGGCGGCCCGGCCUUCCAGCCCCUCCGUGGGCGCCGCGCACACCUGAGGGAGCCGGACCGGGGAUGGACAGAAUGUCGAACAGGAGGCGCAGGAUCCCACCCUGAGGUAGGGAAUUUGGAGUGGAGGACUUCCCGCAGCCCUGGCCUCCCAUGAGUCCAUUUUAGGAGUGUCUCUUCCUCAAGUUUGGAGGACCGAGUGCUGGGAUGCAGUGUUGGCAGCAGUGGAGGAGGAGGAGCCUAUCUCCAGAGGAGUGCCCAUCAACAAACAGCACAGCCAUCAACGCAAGAUUAUGACUGAAGGCCACCUCUUAAACUCCCAAGUAUGUGUUUGCCCACCUUGUCCUGGUGAGGCACCUCUGAUAUUCUACCCCACAGAACAUUUAUAUACUACUUAAUAAAUUUGUUUCCAAAAUGA